rnacentral:lncRNA from 1 species
AAAUUAAGUCAGAUUCUGAGCUAGCUCGUAUCUUGGCUCGGCAAAAUCUCCCAAUGGCGGUUUUUGCAGCCACAGCAGGCUUAGCCUUUUCUCUGAUGAUUAUACAGCUCAGAAAGAAGAACGAAUGAGGCAGCAGCAGAGGAGUACGGGAUUUCUUCAAGGGUGGUUGCCCAUCUCUGCUUUGCCUAUGAUUUCGCCAUUGGUUACUAAAAAACCAACAGCCCUUCGAACAGAGCCAGGGAAAUAUAUGUAUAUAUAUAUAUAUGUACACAAACACACGUAUGCAUAUCAACAUGUGUGUUUGUGUGUGUGUGUUUAACAAUAACAGGGAAGAAGCCCUCGUUGUGAGUUUUCUUU